rnacentral:misc_RNA from 1 species
AAGUCGUAACAAGGUUUCCGUAGGUGAACCUGCGGAAGGAUCAUUAUUUGAAUAAACCUGAUUGGUUGUAGUGGGCCCUCUCUCUCGGGGGGUACGUGCACACCCGUCAUCUUUAUCUUUCCACCGUGCACUUUUUUGUAGACCUGGGAUGUAACACUUUCCGAGGCAACUCGGUCGGGGGAAUGCUGUCAGCUUUCCUUGCAUGUCCAGGCCUAUGUUUUCAUAUACCCCAAAAAAUGUAACAGAAUGUAUCAUUGGGCCUUGUGCCUACAGACUAUAUACAA